rnacentral:rRNA from 1 species
UCUGACGGAGCAACGCCGCGUGAGCGAUGAAGGCCUUCGGGUCGUAAAGCUCUGUUGUUAGGGAAGAACAAGUACCGGAGUAACUGCCGGUACCUUGACGGUACCUAACCAGAAAGCCACGGCUAACUACGUGCCAGCAGCCGCGGUAAUACGUAGGUGGCAAGCGUUGUCCGGAAUUAUUGGGCGUAAAGCGCGCGCAGGCGGUCCUUUAAGUCUGAUGUGAAAGCCCACGGCUCAACCGUGGAGGGUCAUUGGAAACUGGGGGACUUGAGUGCAGAAGAGGAAAGCGGAAUUCCACGUGUAGCGGUGAAAUGCGUAGAGAUGUGGAGGAACACCAGUGGCGAAGGCGGCUUUCUGGUCUGUAACUGACGCUGAGGCGCGAAAGCGUGGGGAGCAAACAGGAUUAGAUACCCUGGUAGUCCACGCCGUAAACGAUGAGUGCUAAGUGUUAGAGGGUUUCCGCCCUUUAGUGCUGMAGU